GAUGAACGCUGGCGGCGUGCCUAAUACAUGCAAGUCGAGCGAACAGACGAGGUGCUUGCUCCUCUCACGUUAGCUGCGGACGGGUGAGUAACACGUAGAUAACCUACCUAUAAGCCUGGGAUAACUACGGGAAACCGUAGCUAAUACCGGAUAAUAUAUGGAACCGCAUGGUUCUUUAGUGAAAGACGGUUUUGCUGUCCCUUAUAGAUGACUCCGCGCCGCAUUAGCUAGUUGGUAAGGUACCGGCUUACCAAGGCGACGAUGCGAAGCCGACCUGAGAGGGGGAUCGGCCACACGGGACCUGAGACACGGUCAAGACUCCUACGGGAGGCAGCAGUAGGGAAUCUUCCGAAAGGGGCGAAAGCUUGACGGAGCAAGGCCGCGUGAGUGAGGAAGGUCUCCGGAUCGUAAAAUUCUUUUAUUAGGGAGGAACAAAUGUGGAAGUAAAUGUGCACGUCUUGACGGUACCUAAUCAGAAAGCCACGGCUAACUACGUG
rnacentral:rRNA from 1 species